UACGGAGGGUGCAAACGUUGCUCGGAAUCAUUGGGCGUAAAGCGCAUGUAGGCGGUCCAGCAAGUCGGGUGUGAAAGCCCUCGGCUUAACCGAGGAAGUGCAUUCGAAACUACUGGACUUGAGUACUGAAGAGGGUCGCGGAAUUCCCGGUGUAGAGGUGAAAUUCGUAGAUAUCGGGAGGAACACCAGUGGCGAAGGCGGCGACCUGGGGCAGAUACGUGACGCUGAGAUGCGAAAGCGUGGGGAGCAAACAGG
rnacentral:rRNA from 1 species